UACGUAGGGUGCAAGCGUUAAUCGGAAUUACUGGGCGUAAAGCGUGCGCAGGCGGUGAUGUAAGACAGGUGUGAAAUCCCCGGGCUUAACCUGGGAACUGCAUUUGUGACUGCAUCGCUGGAGUGCGGCAGAGGGGGAUGGAAUUCCGCGUGUAGCAGUGAAAUGCGUAGAUAUGCGGAGGAAUACCGAUGGCGAAGGCAGCCCCCUGGGCCAAUACUGACGCUCAUGCACGAAAGCGUGGGGAGCAAACAGG
rnacentral:rRNA from 1 species